AAAGAAUUGUCCCACUGAAGGGACAUGAACAUGCGAUAUUUAUCCGGGGACUCCUGUUCUUCACUCUUAACUGCCUCGCAAUUUGUACCCGUCCAAUGUCCAGGCUGAACAUACUCCUAGAAGAGGCUCCUGCAUCACAGAGCUGAUUUUCCUAGCAGAGGGACCCAGACUAAGAAGAAAUCUCUUGGAUUUAAAGAACUUUUCAUCACUCUGUUCAACUACUUUCUGUACAACAAAGAGCUGGAUGUGGACCACUACCAACAAUAAGAGUUCCCCAUCUCACGAAUGUCCAAUAUGAAGGUCUGGCACCUUGCCUUCCAAUAUGGAAUAUACGUCUUGCUGGGACAAUCCCCUGGAAUCACAAAGAACUCCAGCAGCGGCUUGCACCCAUCCUCAUCCUCAGAGGAAUACUGGAAACCAGACUGCAGAAGCAGCAACAUGCUCCCUUCCAACAAGUCACACAGAGAAGGGAGUAUCAAAGCAGUAACUUCACCCACCAUGUGUUGCAUUACAGGAAACUUUAAUGUUCAGAAAUGCAUUUCCCUUUUAUUUAUUUUUUUUGGAGGAGGCGGCCAUAGGAAUUUCAAUUUACAGCCAUUGGUGAUCACUUCUAUUUGGAAUCAUUGGCAAAAGAGUGUAGUAGUGACUGAGAAUGGGUAGGAGACAAGAUUGG